rnacentral:rRNA from 1 species
AGUAGCGAUCACCCAGGCGAGAACCCUGAGGGCCGAAGUGGAGAAGGGGUUUCUCGAGAACGGCACUCGCUCGAGAGUUAGUCGAUCCUAAGCUGCCGGCGGCAGCCACGAAACGGUCGAUCGGGCGCGAGCCCGGCAGCCACGACCGGGCAGCGAAAGGGAAUUGGGAACCUCCUUCCCAAACCCGGAACCGGAACGAGGGCGGCGACGCGAACGAAACGGCCGCGGAGACGGCGGCCGCGGCCCCGGAGAGAGUUCUCUUUUCUGUGCGACUGGACGUCGGCCCCGGAAUCGCGUCGAGCGGAGGGGGGUCGGAGUUCAGGAAUAGCACCCCGGCCUUUCGGGGUGUCCGGGCGGCCGCGGUCGUCCCAUGAAAAUCCGCGGAUGAACGAGUAGGCGACGGUCCGGGUCGUACCAAUGACCGCAUCGGGUCUCCAAGGUUGAAAGCCUCUGGCUAACGGGACAACGUAGGUAAGGG